UCCUCCUUCCCAUUCCUUCAAAUUGACACAACUCAGCAACAGUUUCUUUCCGGAUCCAGUUCCUUGUCAAACUGGUACAUUUACAACACGAAGCAUUCAAUUAAGAGAUCGGAUAUAUGACCCUAAUGGAAUUGCUAAGAAUAUUCCGGGAAGAAUGGACUCAAGGGUGUAUAGUUUUGGACAAAGUGUACCAGAUGAAUAUGAAGAUAAUUUUUAAAAUUCAUGUACUGUUGAUAUUUGAGAG